ACAGCUCAAAUUUGAAAUCUGGCCUUUGGUCCGAGUUGUAAUUUGUAGAGGAUGUUUCGAACGUGGUCUAGUCUAAGUUUCUUGGAACAGAACGUCAUAGAGGGUGAGAAUCCCGUAUGCGACUAGGUGCCUAAGUCCAUGUGAAGCUCCUUCGACGAGUCGAGUUGUUUGGGAAUGCAGCUCAAAAUGGGAGGUAUAUUUCUUCUAAAGCUAAAUAUUGGCCAGAGACCGAUA
rnacentral:rRNA from 1 species